CGGGGAGUAGCGCAGCCUGGUAGCGCAUCUGCUUUGGGAGCAGGGGGUCGCAGGUUCAAAUCCUGUCUCCCCGACCA
rnacentral:tRNA from 1 species